GUCACAGUUAGCGUCCAGCGGCGGGGAAGGCGUGGCCGACCGCGGAGCAUCACAGAGCCGUUUACAACAUUUAGUCCUUCGUCCGUCCGUCCUCACAUCCCCGAAAAAGGAGUCACAUGUGGCCGUCCCAGGGGGGUUAUGGUGGAGUUAAGCAGGCCCACACAAGCAGAGCCGGAACCCCCCACCACCACACACACACACACACACACACGCGCUACACACACAGACACGCUGCCCACCCGCUAUUUAGAAGCUAUGCUGAUACAGUAGGUUACACAUCGUCUCACAGCCUCCGUGAUGAGCCACCCGGCACAUGCGACACAAACAAAUACCAGCUACGUUUCAGCCAUUAGCUAUCCAACCAAACGCCGUUAUCCAGAGUGACUCACCAUUAGCGCAACCACACACAGUAGGAGGCACCGCAAAGCAAAAGGUAUGUUCGAGCACCAGUGCAGUGUGUGCUCUCAGACACAUAUGUCCCCCCCGCCCCCCUUCCCCAAAUAGCCUCACACCUCCAUGAGACCACCAGAGGUUAUUGUAAUUCAACAUCUCGGACAGAUGGACGGACCACCAACGCUGUGACUCACUGCAGCUCAGCGCCAGCUCUGCUGCCAAUGGACAGACACUCUGCCAGCUCCGGGGGAAAGCCCCGACUUUGGACUGGAUCUGAAAUGUCACACCGUUCUCUGGAGUAUAUUAAAGAGAAACUCGCCCUUGUGCAAUAAGACUGCGGUUGCCGUCUUGAUUUUAGUUUGGUAGUAACAUCAUGGAUCACUUGGCUUGUUGGGUGUGAGUUGCGGCGGGUCGUGAGUUCACGUGUCCCGGGUGCGGAUAGGUGACACCGUCUCUAAUGCCGUCGUCUUUCACCUUCCAUUGAAACACCGUGAGGACGCAAAGUGCCGCGCUUGUUCGUUCCAGGAUCCUGGGAAGUGUCUCCGUGGCGCUGCAGGGCCGUGGGCGUCUGGCACAGAUAGCGUUCUGAUAGCACGGUGACGGACAGGCGGGAAACCUCCCCCCUGCACCCCACCCGCCGGCUGGCCCUCCCCUCCCACGACGUCUACACCCUGCUCUGCCUGUUCCCCGUGCCACUCAAGGAGCUAAUGGAGAAAACAAGACACCUCUUAAUGAAGAUUCUAUUUCAAGACAGAACUAAGAAGAUGGAUAAUGAGGCAGAUUCCCUUGAUGUCUUAAUCUGUUUCCUUGUCUGAAGGUAAAUAGGAAGGCUGACAUCACAAAUUACUAGUUACUGUCGUUUGAACUGUUACUUCGCUAAUGAAAUAUGCUUGUGUCAGACAUUUGGUAAGACCUCCUUUUACUUUCCACAACAUUUUUGUUAUUUGAAUUAAGUUUUUUUUUUUUUUUUUUGCCAUAGCAAAACAAUAGUCAGAGGUUGGCUAUCUAUGUGGUCC
ensembl:lncRNA